GAUCUACUCCCUCCGUUUCAAAUUACUCGUCGCGGAAGUAGAUGUAUUUAGAACUAAAAUACAUCUAGAUACAUCCAUUUCUGUGACGAGUAAUUCGAAACGGAAGGAGUAGAUC
rfam:Triticum aestivum genome assembly, contig: Triticum_aestivum_CS42_TGACv1_scaffold_569335_7AS